rnacentral:rRNA from 1 species
UACGAAGGGGGACUAGCGUUGUUCGGAUUUACUGGGCGUAAAGCGCGCGUAGGCGGAUCGCUAAGUCAGGGGGUGAAAUCCCCAGGGCUCAACCCUGGGAACUGCCUUUGAUACUGACGAUCUGGAGAUCGGGAGAGGUGAGUGGAAUUCCGAGUGUAGAGGUGAAAUUCGUAGAUAUUCGGAGGAACACCAGAAGCGAAGGCGGCUCACUGGCCCGAUACUGACGCUGAGGCGCGAAGCGUGGGAGCAACAGG